rnacentral:tRNA from 1 species
GGAGCGUAGCUCAGUUUGGUUAGAGCGCAUGCCUGUCACGCAUGAGGUCGCGAGUUCGA